UACCCAAUCGCGCUCCCGUGAACGAGACCGACAGGAACCGCGAAACGCGCCGGCGGCCGCCCAGAUCCCCGCCGCGCAGCUUGCCGCCGCGUUCGACGAGGGAGCCGGGGCAAGCAAGCCUGCCUAUAGCAUAUAGAGAGACUGGUUCGGGGAUGCGGGCCAGUGGCGCGGCAACGUCGCGGGUAGUGCAGCGGACGCGCAUCUCUACGACGACCCGGAUGCCGCCGCCAUCCCGGCGCGCCUCGACUCCCGCUUCCACGGCGAGAAGGUCGACGCUCAUGCGCCUCCACGCCCUCAUCUAGCAGGGCUUCUACGUCGCUCACCUCUUCCCGCAGCACCAGGCGGUCAAGAACGUGCCGGCAUGGUUGAUCGAGGUGAAGAAGCUCCUCCACCUUUACCUGUUCCACCACGCCGAGAAGUUUAAAUCGGUGUGUAAGUGAAGGUGUAUUUCUCCUUCACGCCUUCGACGUCGACCCCCUUCCCCCUGGUGUAGUACUAUUUAAUCAGGCAGACCCGUUCUGGCCCACAAUGCCAUUUCUCUCUUUCUAAAAUCCAGGAAAUCAGUAUCUUUCAAAAGAUUCAAGGACGUUCGAGGAGUGACCAAAACCAUUGAAAACUUUGCUGAGCGAGGCAAGCAAUCUACUUUGAUCAUGUUGAACCCAUAUUUGCAUUACACUUAUAAUUAAUUUUCAUGCAUAAAUUAUUGUUUACUAGUAUUGCUAUGUUAAGUAAAUUAUCUAGGGUUUAGCUAUGCCAUAUGUCCUUAAUAUUGAACACCCUUUGACAUUCUUAUGCUAAGUUAAUUAGCUAGGGUUUAGCUAUCCUCUAUGUGCUUGAUAUUGACACCCUCCUUUGACAUUCUUAAAACCCCUCCUUUCUAACCAUGUAGUGGUCACAAAUAAAUGUGCGUCAUAUGUGCAAGUUUAAUAGUAAUCCUUAGCCAUGCUAGUCGUGUAAAUCAUAGGACUUGGGAAGAAUCUUUAUUACUCAUAAAUGUUUUACAAAAACCCAAGGGUGUCACUAAUGCCCAUGGGAUGAUUCUGAAAAUAAGGUUUUACAAAAUGGAGAUGAAGUGGAGAUUUAGUUACGUGAUUGCGAUCUUGACGAGAUAGUCAAAGAUGUUCGGUGGAUUAUGAAAAUUUAUGUCUAGUAAAUGAGCAUGGUGGUUAUUAUAUUGGCGGAUAAAUGGAUCUUUAAUGAACUUGAAGCAAUUUGGGUUUAGUUAGGCGAUUAUGAUCUUGAACCAAAUUUUAUGGUGGAUUACGAGAUUUUGAUGCAGUUCAUUGUGAUCUUGAGGAGACAGUCAAAGAUGUUCGGUGGAUUAAUUAAUCUUGGACAAUUUGGAUUUAGUUAGGUGAUUGUGAUAUUGAACCGUAUUUCAUGAUGGAUUAUGAGAUUUUAGGUGGAUUUUGUUACGUGAUUUAAUCUUGAGAAGAUAGUCUAAAAUGUCCGGUUGUUAUGAGAGUUUAGGUAUGGUAGAUGAGCAUGAUGAUUAUUAUGUUGGUGGAUAUAUAGAUCUUUAAUUUUGUUUGGAACAUUUUGGAUUUAGUUAAGUGAUUGUGAUCUUAAACCAAAUUUCACGGUGGAUUAUGAGGUUUUGGUUGGAAUUAGUUAGGUGAGUGUGAUCUUGACGAGCUAGUAAAAAAUGUUUGGUGGAUUAUGUGAAUUUAGGUCUAGUAGGUGAGCAUGGUGGUAAUUAUAUCGGUUAAGUAAGUAAUUUUUUAGUAAACUUGAGAAAAUUUGGAUUUAGUUAGGAAAUUGUGAUCUUGAACCAAAUUUCAUGGGGGAUUACAAGAUUUUAGAUGGAUUUAGUCAGUUGAUUGUGAUCUCGAGGAGAUACUUAAGAUUUUUGAUGGAUUAAUUAACCUAGAACAAUUUGAAUUUAGUUAGGUUAUUGUGAUAUUGAACCGAAUUCCACGAUGAUUUAUGUGAUUUUAGGUGGAUUUAGUUAAGUUAUUAUGAUCUUGAGAAGAUGGUCAAAGAUGUUAGGUGGAUCUUAAGAUUUUAGGUCUGGUACGUGAGCAUGGUGACUAUUAUAUUGGUGGAUAAAUAGACCUUUAAUUUAGUUUGAAACAAUUUAAAUUUAGUUAGAUGAUUGUGAUCUUUUAAGCAAACUCACGGUGGAUUUUGAUGUUUCGGUUAGAUUUAGUUAGGUGAUUGUGAUCCUGACGCAAUAAUCAAUGAUGUUCGAUGGAUUAUGUGAGAAUUUAUGUCUAGUAAGUGAGCAUGGUGGUUAUUAUAUUGGUGGCUCAAUAGAUUUUUAACAAAUUUGGAUUUAGUUAGGCGAUUGUGAUUUUGAACCAAAUUUCAUGGUGAAUUACAGGAUUUUAAAUGGAUUUAAUUAGUUGAUUGAGAUCUUGAGGAGAUAGUCCAAGAUGUUCGGUUGAUUAAUUAAUCUUUUUUUAAUACAGUACAGACGCAAGCGCUCAUACAAACGGGCAUACACUCAUCCCUAUGAAUGCGCACACACACACCCUAUCCCUAUGAGCACCUUCGAGAGACUGAGCCAGCAUAUCAUCUUGAGAUUUUACGAAGUUGCCGUAGGUGCCUCUUAGUCGACGUGAACAAUUUGAAGUUAGUUCGGGGAUUGUGAUAUUGAACCAAAUUUCUCGGUGAUUUAUUUGAUUUGAAGUGGAUUUAGUUAGGUGAUUGUGUUUUGAGAAGAUAGUCAAAAUGCUUGAUGGAUUAUGAGAUUUUAGUUAUGGUAAUGAGCAUGGUGAUUAGGUUUUGGUUGGAUUUAGUUAGGUGAUUGGGAUCAUGACGAGCUAGUAAAAGAUGUAAGGUAGAUUAUGUGAAUUUAGGUCUAGUAGGUGAGCAUUUUGGUUAUUAUAUUGGUGGAUAAAUGGAUUUUUAGAAAACUUAGAAAAAUUUGGAUUUAGUUAGGCGAUUGUGAUCUUGAACCAAAUUUUAUAGUGGAUUAUGAGAUUUCUAAUGGAUUAGUUAGUUGAUUGUGAUCUUGAGGAGAUAGCUAAAGAUAUUCGGUGUAUUAAUUAAUCUUUAACAAUUUGGAUUUAGCUAGGUGAUUGUGAUAUUGACUAAAUUUCUCUGUGAUUUAUGAGAUUUUAGUUGGAUUUAGUUAGGUGAUUGUGUCUUGAGAAAAUAAUCAAAGAUGUUUGGUGGAUUAUAAGAUUUUGGGUCUAAUAACUGAGCAUGGUGAUUAUUAUAUUGGUGGAUAAACAAAUAUUUAAUUUAGUUUGAAACUGUUUGGAUUUAGUUCGGUGAUUAUGAUCUUUUAACCUAAUUUUACGGUGGAUUAUAUGGUUUUGGUUGGAUUUAGUUAUGUGAUUGUGAUCUUGACAAGCUAGUAAAAGAUGUUCGGUGGAUUAUGUGAAUUUAGGUCUAGUAGGUGAGCAUAUUGAUUACUAUAUUGGUGGAUAGAGAUGAGGGCCACACAAGUGACUCAAGGCGAUGAUGCCACUAAUGAAAAUAGUUGGUAAACAAGGCAAAAGAGGAGAGAGUGGGGUAGUGGCAGCCGAUGGACUUUGAUCCAGCAUCGCACGUGCCUGUGCACUCUUCGUUCCCCGCAGUUCGGCUUGGUGUUCUUGUCCUGUUUGCGGAUUUUGUGUCACGCACUUGAUUAAGCAUCCCACGUUCUCCUAAUGUGUGCCCUUAGCCUUGACGAUAGGUAGCGCCGUGUUCUUGGGUGCGCCCCGUGGGUAAAAUUCAGGUAUGCGUCCAUUGUCCGAGCUCUAGCUCACCAUUGGUGGUGCUUGAGCGUGCGGUCAUGGUGUCGCCCAACAAGGGAACAUAGGAUGUGGGAUCAAGACAAAUCCUCUUAGGAAAUAAAGAAGGCAUUAGAGGUAGAAGAAACCUCAAUCUCAAGGAAGUAGCGACUUCUUUAGUAAACAUGGAGCAAUUUGGAUUUAGUUAGGUGAUAUUGAUCUUGAACAAAUUUCAUGGUGGAAUACGGGAUCUUUCAAUGGAUUUAAUUGACAGUGAUCUUGAGGAGAUAGUCAAAGAUGUCCGGUGCAUUAAUUAAUCUUGAACAAUAUGGUUUUAGUUAGGUGAUUGUGAUAUUGAACCAAAAUUCUCUAUGAUUUAUGAGAUUUUAGUUGAAUUUAGUUAGGUGAUUGUGUCUUGAGCUGAUAAUCAAGGAUGUUUUGUGGAUUAUGAGAUUUUAGGUCUAGUAGAGGAGCAUGGUGAUUAUUGUAUUGGUGGAUAAAUAGAUAUUUAAAUUAAUUUGAAACAAUUUGAAUUUGGUAAGGUGAUUUUGAUUUUUUUAGCCUAAUUUUACGAUGGAUUAUAAGGUUCUGGUUGGAUUUAGUCACGUGAUUGUGCUUUUGACGAGGUAGUAAAAGAUGUUCGAUGAAUUAUGUGAAUUUAGGUCUAGUAGGUGAGCAUGCUGAUUAUUAUAUUAGUGGAUAAGUGAAUCUUUAAUAAAUUUGAAACAAUUUGCAAAUUUUGUUAGACGAUUGUAACCUUGAACCAAAUUAUAUGGUGGAUUAUGAGAUUUUAUGGACUAGUUAGUUGAUUCUGAUGUUCAGAAGAUAUUCAAAGAUGGUUGGAUUAAUUAAUCUUGAAUAAUUUGGAUUUAGUUAGGUGAUUGUGAUAUUGAACCGAAUUUUACGCCGGAUUAUGAAAUUUUAGGUGAACUUAGUUAGGUGAUUGUGUCUUGAGAAUAGUCAAAGAUGUUUGUUGGACUAUGAGAUUUUAGGUUUAGUAGAUGAGAAUGGUGAUUAUUAUAUUGGUGGAUAAAACAGAUCUUUAAUUUAGUUUGGAACAAUUUUGAUUUAGUUAGGUGAUUGCUAUUUUUCAAACAAAUUCACGAUGGAUUUUGAGGUUUUGUUGGAUUUAGUUAGGUGAUUGUGAUCUCGACGAGUUAGUCAAAGAUGUUUGGUGAAUUAUGUUAACUUAGGUCUAGUAAGUGAGCAUGGUGGUUAUUAUAUUGGUGGAUAAAUGGUCCUUUAGUAAACAUGGAGCAAUUUGGAUGUAGUUAGGCUAUUGUGAUCUUGAAUAAAUUUCAUAGUGGAUUACACGAUUUUCAAUAGAUUUAGUUAGUAGAUUGUGAUCUUGGGGAGAUGUCAAAGAUGUUUGGUGCAUUAAUUAAUCUUAAACAAUUUGGAGUUGAUAGAUGAUUGCGAUAUUGAACCAAAUUCUCUGUGAUUUAUGAGAUUUUAGUUGGAUUUAGUUAGGUGAUUUUGUCUUGAGAUGAUAAUCGAAGAUGUUUGGUGGAUUAUGGAUUUUAGGUCUAAUAACUGAGGAUGGCGAUAUUAUAUUGGUGGAUGAACAUAUAUUUAAUUUAGUUAGGUGAUUGUGAUUUUGACAAGCUAGUAAAAGAUGUUCGGUGGAUUAUGUGAAUUUAGAUCUAGUAGGUGAGCAUGUUGAUUAUAUAUUGGUGGAUAGAGAUGAGGGCCACACAAGUGACUCAAGGCAAUGAUGCCACUACUGAAAAUAACUGGUAAACAAGGCAAAUGAGGAGAGAAUAGGGGUAGUGGCAGCAGAUGGACUUUGAUCCAGCAUCCCACGUGCAUGUACACUCUCCGUUCCUCGUUGUCCGUUUUGGUGUUCUUGUCCUGUUUGCGGAUUUUGUGUUAUGCACUUGAUUAAGCAUCCCACGUUCUCUUAAUGUGCGCCCUUAGCCUUGAUGAUAGGUAGCGCUGUUUUCUCGAGCGUGUCCCGUGGGUAAAAUUCAGGUAUGCGUCGAUUGUCUGUGCUCUUGCUCGCCAUUGGUGGUGCUUAAGCGUGCGGUCAUGGUGUCGCCCAGCAAGGGAACACGGGAUGUGGGAUCAAGACAACACACAUAACAACCCGUGACCAGGCAACGGACACCCGUCCGGACGUUCAGGGAGCGGAGGUGGACACAAAGAUGGAUGUUGAGCUCCAUAGCAGUCUCAAUAGUGUGCUCAUCAGUACGAGCGACACGAGCAGGAAGAUCCUGUAUAUACUCUUAGGAAAUAAAGAAGGCAUUAGGGGUAGAGGAAACCUCAAUAUCAAGGAAGUAGCGACUUCUUUAGUAAACAUGGAGCAAUUUGGAUUUAGUUAGGCGAUUGUGAUCUUGAACAAAUUUCAUGGUGGAUUACGAGAUGUUUCAAUGCAUUUAGUUGAUUGUGAUAUUGAGGAGAUAGUCAAAGAUGUUCGGUAUAUUAAUUAAUCUUGAACAAUAUGGAUUUAGUUAUGUGAUUGUGAUAUUGAACCAAAUUUCUCUGUGAUUUAUGAGAUUUUAAUUGGAUUUAGUUAGGUGAUUGUGUCUUGAGAUGGUAAUCAAAAAUGUUUUGUGGAUCAUGAGAUUUUAGGUCUAGUAGAGGAGGAUGGUGAUUAUUGUAUUGGUGGAUAAAUAUAUAUUUAAAUUAAUUUGGAACAAUUUGAAUUGGUGAGGUGGUUGUGAUCUUUUAACCUAAUUUUACGAUGGAUUAUAAGGUUCUGGUUGGAUUUAGUUAGGUGAUUGUGAUUUUGACGAGGUAGUAAAAGAUGAUCGAUGAAUUAUGUGAAUUUAGGUCUAGUAGGUGAGCAUGUUGAUUAUUAUAUUGGUGGAUAAAGGAAUCUUUAAUAAAUUUGGAACAAUUUGGACUUAGUUAGGUGAUUGUGACCUUGAACCAUAUUUUAUGGUGGAUAAUGAGAUUUUUAUGGAUUAGUUAGUUGAUUAUGAUCUUGAGAAGAUAUUCAAAGAUGGUUGGAUUAAUUAAUCUUGAAUAAUUUGGAUUUAGUUAGGUGAUUGUGAUAUUGAACCGAAUUUUACGCCGGAUUAUGAGAUUUUAGGUGGAUUUAGUUAGGUGAUUGUGUCUUGAGAAUAGUCAAAGAUGUUUGCUGGACUAUGAGAUUUUAGGUUUAGUAGAUGAGAAUGGUGAUUAUUAUAUUGGUGGAUAAAACAGAUCUUUAAUUUAGUUUGGAACAAUUUUGAUUUAGUUAGGUGAUUGCUAUUUUUCAAACAAAUUCACGGUGGAUUUUGAGGUUUUGUUGGAUUUAGUUCGGUGAUUGUGAUCUCGACGAGUUAGUCAAAGAUGUUUGGUGAAUUAUGUUAAUUUAGGUCUAGUAAGUUAGCAUGGUGGUUAUUAUAUUGGUGGAUAAAUGGUCCUUUAGUAAACAUGGAACAAUUUGGAUGUAGUUAGGCUAUUAUGAUCUUGAAUAAAUUUCAUAGUGGAUUACACGAUUUUCAAUAGAUUUAGUUAGUAGAUUGUGAUUUUGGGGAGAUGUCAAAGUUGUUUGGUGGAUUAAUUAAUGUUAAACAAUUUGGAGUUCGUAGAUGAUUGCGAUAUUGAACCAGAUUUCUUUGUGAUUUAUGAGAUUUUAGUUGGGUUUAGUUAGGUGAUUGUGUCUUGAGAUGAUAAUUGAAGAUGUUUGGUGGAUUAUGGAUUUUAGGUCUUAUAACUGAGCAUGGCGAUUAUUAUAUUGAUGGACGAACAUAUAUUUAAUUUAGUCUGAAACGAUUUGGAUUUAGUUAGGUAAUUGUGAUUUUGACAUGCUAGUAAAAGAUGUUCGUUGGAUUAUGUGAAUUUAGGUCUAGUAGGUGAUCAUGUUGAUUAUUAUAUUGGUGGAGAGAGAUGAGGGCCACACAAGUGACUCAAGGCAAUGAUGCCACUACUGAAAAUAACUGGUAAGCAAGGCAAAUGAGGAGAGAAUGGGGGUAGUGGCAGCAGAUGGAGUUUGAUCCAGCAUCCCACGUGCAUGUGCACUCUUCGUUCCUCGUUGUCCGUUUUGGUGUUCUUGUCCUGUUUGCGGAUUUUGUGUCACGCACUUGAUUAAGCAUCCCACGUUCUCCUAAUGUGCGCCCUUGACCUUGAUGAUAGGUAGCGCCGUGUUAUCGAGCGUGUCUCGUGGGUAAAAUUCAGGUAUGCGUCGAUUGUCUGUGCUCUUGCUUGCCAUUGGUGGUGCUUGAGCGUGCGGUCAUGGUGUCGCCCAGCAAGGGAACACGGGAUGUGGGAUCAAGACAGCACACAUAGCAACCCGUGACCAGGCAACGGCGCCCGUCCGGACGUUCAGGGAGCGGAGGUGGACACAAAGAUGGAUGUUGAGCUCCAUAGCAGUCUCAAUAGUGUGCUCAUCAGUACGAGCGACACGAGCAAGAAGAUCCUGGAUAUACUCCUCUUAGGAAAAAAAGAAGGCAUUAGAGGUAGAGGAAACCUCAAUCUCAAGGAAGUAGCGACUUCUUUAGUAAACAUGGAGCAAUUUGGAUUUAGUUAGGCGAUUGUGAUCUUGAACAAAUUUCAUGGUGGAUUAUGAGAUGUUUCAAUGGAUUUAGUUGAUUGUGAUCUUGAGGAGAUAGUCAGAGAUGUUCGGUAUAUUAAUUAAUCAUGAACAAUAUGGAUUUAGUUAUGUGAUUGUGAUAUUGAACCAAAUUUCUCUGUGAUUUAUGAGAUUUUAGUUGGAUUUAGUUAGGUGAUUGUGUCUUGAGAUGAUAAUCAAAAAUGUUUUGUGGAUCAUGAGAUUUUAGGUCUAGUAGAGGAGGAUGGUGAUUAUUGUAUUGGUGGAUAAAUAGAUACUUAAAUUAAUUUGAAACAAUUUGAAUUGGUGAGGUGGUUGUGAUCUUUUAACCUAAUUUUACGAUGGAUUAUAAGGUUCUGGUUGGAUUUAGUCAGGUGAUUGUGAUUUUGACGAGGUAGUAAAAGAUGUUCGAUGAAUUAUGUGAAUUUAGGUCUAGUAGGUGAGCAUGUUGAUUAUAUAUUGGUGGAUAAAGGAAUCUUUAAUAAAUUUAGAACAAUUUGGAUUUAGUUAGGCGAUUGUGACCUUGAACCACAUUUUAUGGUGUAUUAUGAGAUUUUGAUGGAUUAGUUAGUUGAUUAUGAUCUUGAGAACAUAUUCAAAUAUGUUUGGAUUAAUUAAUCUUGAAUCAUUAGGAUUUGGUUAGCUGAUUGUGAUACUGAACCGAAUUUUACGCUGGCUUAUGAGAUUUAAGGUGGAUUUUGUUUGGUGAUUGUGUCUUGAGAAUAUAGUCAAAGAUGUUUGCUGGACAAUGAGAUUUUAGGUUUAGUAUAUGAGAAUGGUGAUUAUUAUAUUGGUGGAUAAAACAGAUCUUCAAUUUAGUUUGGAAUAAUUUUGAUUUAGUUAGGUGAUUGUUAUUUUUCAAACAAAUCCACGGUGGAUUUUGAGGUUUUGUUGGAUUUUGUUAGGUGAUUGUGUCUUGAGCUAAUAAUCAAAGAUGUUUUGUAGAUCAUGAGAUUUUAGGUCUUGUAGAGGAGCAUUGUGAUUAUUGUAUUGGUGGAUAAAUAGAUAUUUAAACUAAUUUGGAACAAUUUGAAUUUGGUCAGGUGAUUUUGAUUUUUUAGCCUAAUUUUACGAUGGAUUAUAAUGUUCUGGUUGGAUUUAGUCACGUGAUUGUGAUUUUGACGAGGUAGUUAAAGAUGUUCGAUGAAUUAUGUGAAUUUAGGUCUAGUGGGUGAGCAUGCUGAUUAUUAUAUUAGUGGAUAAAUGAAUCUUUAAUAAAUUUGGAGCAAUUUGGAUUUAGUUAGACGAUUGUGACCUUGAACCAAAUUAUAUGGUGGAUAAUGAGAUUUUUAUGGACUAGUUAGUUGAUUCUGAUCUUGAGAAGAUAUUGAAAGAUGGUUGGAUUAAUUAAUCUUGAAUAAUUUGGAGUUAGUUAGGUGAUUGUGAUAUUGAACCGAAUUUUACGCCGGAUUAUGAGAUUUUAGAUGGAUUUAGUUAGGUGAUUGUGUCUUGAGAAUAGUCAAAGAUGUUUGCUGGACUAUGAGAUUUUAGGUUUAGUAGAUGAGAAUGGUGAUUAUUAUAUUGGUGGAUAAAACAGAUCUUUAAUUUAGUUUGGAACAAUUUUGAUUUAGUUAGGUGAUUGCUAUUUUUCAAACAAAUUCACGGUGGAUUUUGAGGUUUUGUUGGAUUUAGUUAGGUGAUUGUGAUCUCGACGAGUUAGUCAAAGAUUUUGGUGAAUUAUGUUAACUUAGGUCUAGUAAGUGAGCAUGGUGGUUAUUAUAUUGGUGGAUAAAUGGUCCUUUAGUAAACAUGGAGCAAUUUGGAUGUAGUUAGGCUAUUAUGAUCUUGAAUAAAUUUCAUAGUGGAUUACACGAUUUUCAAUAGAUUUAGUUAGUAGAUUGUGAUUUUGGGGAGAUGUCAAAGUUGUUUGGUGGAUUAAUUAAUGUUAAAUAAUUUGGAGUUCGUAGAUGAUUGCGAUAUUGAACCAGAUUUCUUUGUGAUUUAUGAGAUUUUAGUUGGGUUUAGUUAGGUGAUUGUGUCUUGAGAUGAUAAUUGAAGAUGUUUGGUGGAUUAUGGAUUUUAGGUCUUAUAACUGAGCAUGGCGAUUAUUAUAUUGAUGGACGAACAUAUAUUUAAUUUAGUCUGAAACGAUUUAGAUUUAGUUAGGUGAUUGUGAUUUUGACAUGCUAGUAAAAGAUGUUCGUUGGAUUAUGUGAAUUUAGGUCUAGUAGGUGAUCAUGUUGAUUAUUAUAUUGGUGGAUAGAGAUGAGGGCCACACAAGUGACUCAAGGCAAUGAUGCCACUACUGAAAAUAACUGGUAAACAAGGCAAAUGAGGAGAGAAUGGGGGUAGUGGCAGCAGAUGGAGUUUGAUCCAGCAUCCCACGUGCAUGUGCACUCUUCGUUCCUCGUUGUCCGUUUUGGUGUUCUUGUCCUGUUUGCGGAUUUUGUGUCACACACUUGAUUAAGCAUCCCACGUUCUCCUAAUGUGCGCCCUUGGCCUUGACGAUAGGUAGCGCCGUGUUCUCGAGCGUGUCCCGUGGGUAAAAUUCAGGUAUGCGUCGAUUGUCUGUGCUCUUGCUUGCCAUUGGUGGUGCUUGAGCGUGCGGUCGUGGUGUCGCCCAGCAAGGGAACACGGGAUGUGGGAUCAAGACAGCACACAUAGCAACCCGUGACCAGGCAACGGCGCCCGUCCGGACGUUCAGGGAGCGGAGGUGGACACAAAGAUGGAUGUUGAGCUCCAUAGCAGUCUCAAUAGUGUGCUCAUCAGUACGAGCGACACGAGCAAGAAGAUCCUGGAUAUACUCCUCUUAGGAAAAAAAGAAGGCAUUAGAGGUAGAGGAAACCUCAAUCUCAAGGAAGUAGCGACUUCUUUAGUAAACAUGGAGCAAUUUGGAUUUAGUUAGGCGAUUGUGAUCUUGAACAAAUUUCAUGGUGGAUUAUGAGAUGUUUCAAUGGAUUUAGUUGAUUGUGAUCUUGAGGAGAUAGUCAGAGAUGUUCGGUAUAUUAAUUAAUCAUGAACAAUAUGGAUUUAGUUAUGUGAUUGUGAUAUUGAACCAAAUUUCUCUGUGAUUUAUGAGAUUUUAGUUGGAUUUAGUUAGGUGAUUGUGUCUUGAGAUGAUAAUCAAAAAUGUUUUGUGGAUCAUGAGAUUUUAGGUCUAGUAGAGGAGGAUGGUGAUUAUUGUAUUGGUGGAUAAAUAGAUACUUAAAUUAAUUUGAAACAAUUUGAAUUGGUGAGGUGGUUGUGAUCUUUUAACCUAAUUUUACGAUGGAUUAUAAGGUUCUGGUUGGAUUUAGUCAGGUGAUUGUGAUUUUGACGAGGUAGUAAAAGAUGUUCGAUGAAUUAUGUGAAUUUAGGUCUAGUAGGUGAGCAUGUUGAUUAUAUAUUGGUGGAUAAAGGAAUCUUUAAUAAAUUUAGAACAAUUUGGAUUUAGUUAGGCGAUUGUGACCUUGAACCACAUUUUAUGGUGUAUUAUGAGAUUUUGAUGGAUUAGUUAGUUGAUUAUGAUCUUGAGAACAUAUUCAAAUAUGUUUGGAUUAAUUAAUCUUGAAUCAUUAGGAUUUGGUUAGCUGAUUGUGAUACUGAACCGAAUUUUACGCUGGCUUAUGAGAUUUAAGGUGGAUUUUGUUUGGUGAUUGUGUCUUGAGAAUAUAGUCAAAGAUGUUUGCUGGACAAUGAGAUUUUAGGUUUAGUAUAUGAGAAUGGUGAUUAUUAUAUUGGUGGAUAAAACAGAUCUUCAAUUUAGUUUGGAAUAAUUUUGAUUUAGUUAGGUGAUUGUUAUUUUUCAAACAAAUCCACGGUGGAUUUUGAGGUUUUGUUGGAUUUUGUUAGGUGAUUGUGUCUUGAGCUAAUAAUCAAAGAUGUUUUGUAGAUCAUGAGAUUUUAGGUCUUGUAGAGGAGCAUUGUGAUUAUUGUAUUGGUGGAUAAAUAGAUAUUUAAACUAAUUUGGAACAAUUUGAAUUUGGUCAGGUGAUUUUGAUUUUUUAGCCUAAUUUUACGAUGGAUUAUAAUGUUCUGGUUGGAUUUAGUCACGUGAUUGUGAUUUUGACGAGGUAGUUAAAGAUGUUCGAUGAAUUAUGUGAAUUUAGGUCUAGUGGGUGAGCAUGCUGAUUAUUAUAUUAGUGGAUAAAUGAAUCUUUAAUAAAUUUGGAGCAAUUUGGAUUUAGUUAGACGAUUGUGACCUUGAACCAAAUUAUAUGGUGGAUAAUGAGAUUUUUAUGGACUAGUUAGUUGAUUCUGAUCUUGAGAAGAUAUUGAAAGAUGGUUGGAUUAAUUAAUCUUGAAUAAUUUGGAGUUAGUUAGGUGAUUGUGAUAUUGAACCGAAUUUUACGCCGGAUUAUGAGAUUUUAGAUGGAUUUAGUUAGGUGAUUGUGUCUUGAGAAUAGUCAAAGAUGUUUGCUGGACUAUGAGAUUUUAGGUUUAGUAGAUGAGAAUGGUGAUUAUUAUAUUGGUGGAUAAAACAGAUCUUUAAUUUAGUUUGGAACAAUUUUGAUUUAGUUAGGUGAUUGCUAUUUUUCAAACAAAUUCACGGUGGAUUUUGAGGUUUUGUUGGAUUUAGUUAGGUGAUUGUGAUCUCGACGAGUUAGUCAAAGAUUUUGGUGAAUUAUGUUAACUUAGGUCUAGUAAGUGAGCAUGGUGGUUAUUAUAUUGGUGGAUAAAUGGUCCUUUAGUAAACAUGGAGCAAUUUGGAUGUAGUUAGGCUAUUAUGAUCUUGAAUAAAUUUCAUAGUGGAUUACACGAUUUUCAAUAGAUUUAGUUAGUAGAUUGUGAUUUUGGGGAGAUGUCAAAGUUGUUUGGUGGAUUAAUUAAUGUUAAAUAAUUUGGAGUUCGUAGAUGAUUGCGAUAUUGAACCAGAUUUCUUUGUGAUUUAUGAGAUUUUAGUUGGGUUUAGUUAGGUGAUUGUGUCUUGAGAUGAUAAUUGAAGAUGUUUGGUGGAUUAUGGAUUUUAGGUCUUAUAACUGAGCAUGGCGAUUAUUAUAUUGAUGGACGAACAUAUAUUUAAUUUAGUCUGAAACGAUUUAGAUUUAGUUAGGUGAUUGUGAUUUUGACAUGCUAGUAAAAGAUGUUCGUUGGAUUAUGUGAAUUUAGGUCUAGUAGGUGAUCAUGUUGAUUAUUAUAUUGGUGGAUAGAGAUGAGGGCCACACAAGUGACUCAAGGCAAUGAUGCCACUACUGAAAAUAACUGGUAAACAAGGCAAAUGAGGAGAGAAUGGGGGUAGUGGCAGCAGAUGGAGUUUGAUCCAGCAUCCCACGUGCAUGUGCACUCUUCGUUCCUCGUUGUCCGUUUUGGUGUUCUUGUCCUGUUUGCGGAUUUUGUGUCACACACUUGAUUAAGCAUCCCACGUUCUCCUAAUGUGCGCCCUUGGCCUUGACGAUAGGUAGCGCCGUGUUCUCGAGCGUGUCCCGUGGGUAAAAUUCAGGUAUGCGUCGAUUGUCUGUGCUCUUGCUUGCCAUUGGUGGUGCUUGAGCGUGCGGUCGUGGUGUCGUCCAGCAAGGGAACACGGGAUGUGGGAUCAAGACAGCACACAUAGCAACCCGUGACCAGGCAACGGCGCCCGUCCGGACGUUCAGGGAGCGGAGGUGGACACAAAGAUGGAUGUUGAGCUCCAUAGCAGUCUCAAUAGUGUGCUCAUCAGUACGAGCGACACGAGCAAGAAGAUCCUGGAUAUACUCCUCUUAGGAAAAAAAGAAGGCAUUAGAGGUAGAGGAAACCUCAAUCUCAAGGAAGUAGCGACUUCUUUAGUAAACAUGGAGCAAUUUGGAUUUAGUUAGGCGAUUGUGAUCUUGAACAAAUUUCAUGGUGGAUUAUGAGAUGUUUCAAUGGAUUUAGUUGAUUGUGAUCUUGAGGAGAUAGUCAGAGAUGUUCGGUAUAUUAAUUAAUCAUGAACAAUAUGGAUUUAGUUAUGUGAUUGUGAUAUUGAACCAAAUUUCUCUGUGAUUUAUGAGAUUUUAGUUGGAUUUAGUUAGGUGAUUGUGUCUUGAGAUGAUAAUCAAAAAUGUUUUGUGGAUCAUGAGAUUUUAGGUCUAGUAGAGGAGGAUGGUGAUUAUUGUAUUGGUGGAUAAAUAGAUACUUAAAUUAAUUUGAAACAAUUUGAAUUGGUGAGGUGGUUGUGAUCUUUUAACCUAAUUUUACGAUGGAUUAUAAGGUUCUGGUUGGAUUUAGUCAGGUGAUUGUGAUUUUGACGAGGUAGUAAAAGAUGUUCGAUGAAUUAUGUGAAUUUAGGUCUAGUAGGUGAGCAUGUUGAUUAUAUAUUGGUGGAUAAAGGAAUCUUUAAUAAAUUUAGAACAAUUUGGAUUUAGUUAGGCGAUUGUGACCUUGAACCACAUUUUAUGGUGUAUUAUGAGAUUUUGAUGGAUUAGUUAGUUGAUUAUGAUCUUGAGAACAUAUUCAAAUAUGUUUGGAUUAAUUAAUCUUGAAUCAUUAGGAUUUGGUUAGCUGAUUGUGAUACUGAACCGAAUUUUACGCUGGCUUAUGAGAUUUAAGGUGGAUUUUGUUUGGUGAUUGUGUCUUGAGAAUAUAGUCAAAGAUGUUUGCUGGACAAUGAGAUUUUAGGUUUAGUAUAUGAGAAUGGUGAUUAUUAUAUUGGUGGAUAAAACAGAUCUUCAAUUUAGUUUGGAAUAAUUUUGAUUUAGUUAGGUGAUUGUUAUUUUUCAAACAAAUCCACGGUGGAUUUUGAGGUUUUGUUGGAUUUUGUUAGGUGAUUGUGUCUUGAGCUAAUAAUCAAAGAUGUUUUGUAGAUCAUGAGAUUUUAGGUCUUGUAGAGGAGCAUUGUGAUUAUUGUAUUGGUGGAUAAAUAGAUAUUUAAACUAAUUUGGAACAAUUUGAAUUUGGUCAGGUGAUUUUGAUUUUUUAGCCUAAUUUUACGAUGGAUUAUAAUGUUCUGGUUGGAUUUAGUCACGUGAUUGUGAUUUUGACGAGGUAGUUAAAGAUGUUCGAUGAAUUAUGUGAAUUUAGGUCUAGUGGGUGAGCAUGCUGAUUAUUAUAUUAGUGGAUAAAUGAAUCUUUAAUAAAUUUGGAGCAAUUUGGAUUUAGUUAGACGAUUGUGACCUUGAACCAAAUUAUAUGGUGGAUAAUGAGAUUUUUAUGGACUAGUUAGUUGAUUCUGAUCUUGAGAAGAUAUUGAAAGAUGGUUGGAUUAAUUAAUCUUGAAUAAUUUGGAGUUAGUUAGGUGAUUGUGACAUUGAACCGAAUUUUACGCCGGAUUAUGAGAUUUUAGAUGGAUUUAGUUAGGUGAUUGUGUCUUGAGAAUAGUCAAAGAUGUUUGCUGGACUAUGAGAUUUUAGGUUUAGUAGAUGAGAAUGGUGAUUAUUAUAUUGGUGGAUAAAACAGAUCUUUAAUUUAGUUUGGAACAAUUUUGAUUUAGUUAGGUGAUUGCUAUUUUUCAAACAAAUUCACGGUGGAUUUUGAGGUUUUGUUGGAUUUAGUUAGGUGAUUGUGAUCUCGACGAGUUAGUCAAAGAUUUUGGUGAAUUAUGUUAACUUAGGUCUAGUAAGUGAGCAUGGUGGUUAUUAUAUUGGUGGAUAAAUGGUCCUUUAGUAAACAUGGAGCAAUUUGGAUGUAGUUAGGCUAUUAUGAUCUUGAAUAAAUUUCAUAGUGGAUUACACGAUUUUCAAUAGAUUUAGUUAGUAGAUUGUGAUUUUGGGGAGAUGUCAAAGUUGUUUGGUGGAUUAAUUAAUGUUAAACAAUUUGGAGUUCGUAGAUGAUUGCGAUAUUGAACCAGAUUUCUUUGUGAUUUAUGAGAUUUUAGUUGGGUUUAGUUAGGUGAUUGUGUCUUGAGAUGAUAAUUGAAGAUGUUUGGUGGAUUAUGGAUUUUAGGUCUUAUAACUGAGCAUGGCGAUUAUUAUAUUGAUGGACGAACAUAUAUUUAAUUUAGUCUGAAACGAUUUAGAUUUAGUUAGGUGAUUGUGAUUUUGACAUGCUAGUAAAAGAUGUUCGUUGGAUUAUGUGAAUUUAGGUCUAGUAGGUGAUCAUGUUGAUUAUUAUAUUGGUGGAUAGAGAUGAGGGCCACACAAGUGACUCAAGGCAAUGAUGCCACUACUGAAAAUAACUGGUAAACAAGGCAAAUGAGGAGAGAAUGGGGGUAGUGGCAGCAGAUGGAGUUUGAUCCAGCAUCCCACGUGCAUGUGCACUCUUCGUUCCUCGUUGUCCGUUUUGGUGUUCUUGUCCUGUUUGCGGAUUUUGUGUCACGCACUUGAUUAAGCAUCCCACGUUCUCCUAAUGUGCGCCCUUGGCCUUGACGAUAGGUAGCGCCGUGUUCUCGAGCGUGUCCCGUGGGUAAAAUUCAGGUAUGCGUCGAUUGUCUGUGCUCUUGCUUGCCAUUGGUGGUGCUUGAGCGUGCGGUCGUGGUGUCGUCCAGCAAGGGAACACGGGAUGUGGGAUCAAGACAGCACACAUAGCAACCCGUGACCAGGCAACGGCGCCCGUCCGGACGUUCAGGGAGCGGAGGUGGACACAAAGAUGGAUGUUGAGCUCCAUAGCAGUCUCAAUAGUGUGCUCAUCAGUACGAGCGACACGAGCAAGAAGAUCCUGGAUAUACUCCUCUUAGGAAAUAAAGAAGGCAUUAGGGGUAGAGGAAACCUCAAUAUCAAGGAAGUAGCGACUUCUGUAGUAAACAUGGAGCAAUUUGGAUUUAGUUAGGCGAUUGUGAUCUUGAACAAAUUUCAUGGUGGAUUACGAGAUGUUUCAAUGCAUUUAGUUGAUUGUGAUAUUGAGGAGAUAGUCAAAGAUGUUCGGUAUAUUAAUUAAUCUUGAACAAUAUGGAUUUAGUUAUGUGAUUGUGAUAUUGAACCAAAUUUCUCUGUGAUUUAUGAGAUUUUAAUUGGAUUUAGUUAGGUGAUUGUGUCUUGAGAUGAUAAUCAAAAAUGUUUUGUGGAUCAUGAGAUUUUAGGUCUAGUAGAGGAGGAUGGUGAUUAUUGUAUUGGUGGAUAAAUAUAUAUUUAAAUUAAUUUGAAACAAUUUGAAUUGGUGAGGUGGUUGUGAUCUUUUAACCUAAUUUUACGAUGGAUUAUAAGGUUCUGGUUGGAUUUAGUCAGGUGAUUGUGAUUUUGACGAGGUAGUAAAAGAUGAUCGAUGAAUUAUGUGAAUUUAGGUCUAGUAGGUGAGCAUGUUGAUUAUUAUAUUGGUGGAUAAAGGAAUCUUUAAUAAAUUUGGAACAAUUUGGACUUAGUUAGGUGAUUGUGACCUUGAACCAUAUUUUAUGGUGGAUAAUGAGAUUUUUAUGGAUUAGUUAGUUGAUUAUGAUCUUGAGAAGAUAUUCAAAGAUGGUUGGAUUAAUUAAUCUUGAAUAAUUUGGAUUUAGUUAGGUGAUUGUGAUAUUGAACCGAAUUUUACGCUGGAUUAUGAGAUUUUAGGUGGAUUUAGUUAGGUGAUUGUGUCUUGAGAAUAGUCAAAGAUGUUUGCUGGACUAUGAGAUUUUAGGUUUAGUAGAUGAGAAUGGUGAUUAUUAUAUUGGUGGAUAAAACAGAUCUUUAAUUUAGUUUGGAACAAUUUUGAUUUAGUUAGGUGAUUGCUAUUUUUCAAACAAAUUCACGGUGGAUUUUGAGGUUUUGUUGGAUUUAGUUAGGUGAUUGUGAUCUCGACGAGUUAGUCAAAGAUGUUUGGUGAAUUAUGUUAAUUUAGGUCUAGUAAGUUAGCAUGGUGGUUAUUAUAUUGGUGGAUAAAUGGUCCUUUAGUAAACAUGGAACAAUUUGGAUGUAGUUAGGUUGUUGUGAUCUUGAAUAAAUUUCAUUGUGGAUUACAAGAUUUUCAACAGAUUUACUUAGUAGAUUGUGAUCUUGGGGAGAUGUCAAAGAUGUUUGGUGGAUUAAUUAAUCUUAAACAAUUUGGAGUUGGUAGAUGAUUGCGAUAUUGAACCAAAUUUCUCUGUGAUUUAUGAGAUUUUAGUUGGGUUUAGUUAGGUGAUUGUGUCUUGAGAUGAUAAUCGAAGAUGUUUGGUGAAUUAUGGAUUUUAGGUCUUAUAGCUGAGCAUGGCGAUUAUUAUAUUGAUGGAUGAACAUAUAUUUAAUUUUGUCUGAAACAAUUUCGAUUUAGUUAGGUGAUUGUGAUUUUGACAAGCUAGUAAAAGAUGUUCGGUGGAUUAUGUGAAUUUAGGUCUAGUAGGUGAUCAUGUUGAUUAUUAUAUUGGUGGAUAGAUAUGAGGGCCACACAAGUGACUCAAGGCAAUGAUGCCACUACUGAAAAUAACUGGUAAACAAGGCAAAUGAGGAGAGAAUGGGGGUAGUGGCAGCAGAUGGAGUUUGAUCCAGCAUCCCACGUGCAUGUGCACUCUUCGUUCCUCGUUGUCCGUUUUGGUGUUCUUGUCCUGUUUGCGGAUUUUGUGUCACACACUUGAUUAAGCAUCCCACGUUCUCCUAAUGUGCGCCCUUGGCCUUGAUGAUAGGUAGCGCCGUUAUCGAGCGUGUCCCGUGGGUAAAAUUCAGGUAUGCGUCGAUUGUCUGUGCUCUUGCUUGCCAUUGGUGGUGCUUGAGCGUGCGGUCAUGGUGUCGCCCAGCAAGGGAACACGGGAUGUGGGAUCAAGACAGCACACAUAGCAACCCGUGACCAGGCAACGGCGCCCGUCCGGACGUUCAGGGAGCGGAGGUGGACACAAAGAUGGAUGUUGAGCUCCAUAGCAGUCUCAAUAGUGUGCUCAUCAGUACGAGCGACACGAGCAAGAAGAUCCUGGAUAUACUCCUCUUAGGAAAAAAAGAAGGCAUUAGAGGUAGAGGAAACCUCAAUCUCAAGGAAGUAGCGACUUCUUUAGUAAACAUGGAGCAAUUUGGAUUUAGUUAGGCGAUUGUGAUCUUGAACAAAUUUCAUGGUGGAUUACGAGAUGUUUCAAUGGAUUUAGUUGAUUGUGAUCUUGAGGAGAUAGUCAAAGAUGUUCGGUAUAUUAAUUAAUCUUGAACAAUAUGGAUUUAGUUAUGUGAUUGUGAUAUUGAACCAAAUUUCUCUGUGAUUUGUGAGAUUUUAGUUGGAUUUAGUUAGGUGAUUGUGUCUUGAGAUGAUAAUCAAAAAUGUUUUGUGGAUGAGAUUUUAGGUCUAGUGGAGGAGGAUGGUGAUUAUUGUAUUGGUGGAUAAAUAGAUAUUUAAAUUAAUUUGAAACAAUUUGAAUUGGUGAGGUCGUUGUGAUCUUUUAACCUAAUUUUACGAUGGAUUAUAAGGUUCUGGUUGGAUUUAGUCAGGUGAUUGUGAUUUUGACGAGGUAGUAAAAGAUGUUCGAUAAAUUAUGUGAAUUUAGGUCUAGUAGGUGAGCAUGUUGAUUAUAUUUUGGUGGAUAAAGGAAUCUUUAAUAAAUUUGGAACAAUUUGGAUUUAGUUAGGCGAUUGUGACCUUGAACCACAUUUUAUGGUGGAUUAUGAGAUUUUUAUGGAUUAGUUAGUUGAUUAUGAUCUUGAGAACAUAUUCAAAUAUGUUUGGAUUAAUUAAUCUUGAAUCAUUAGGAUUUGGUUAGGUGAUUGUGAUACUGAACCGAAUUUUACGCUGGAUUAUGAGAUUUAAGGUGGAUUUUGUUAGGUGAUUGUGUCUUGAGAAUUUAGUUAGGCGAUUGUGACCUUGAACCACAUUUUAUGGUGGAUUAUGAGAUUUUUAUGGAUUAGUUAGUUGAUUAUGAUCUUGAGAACAUAUUCAAAUAUGUUUGGAUUAAUUAAUCUUGAAUCAUUAGGAUUUGGUUAGGUGAUUGUGAUACUGAACCGAAUUUUACGCUGGAUUAUGAGAUUUAAGGUGGAUUUUGUUAGGUGAUUGUGUCUUGAGAAUAUAGUCAAAGAUGUUUGCUGGACUAUGAGAUUUUAGGUUUAGUAGAUGAGAAUGGUGAUUAUUAUAUUGGUGGAUAAAACAGAUCUUCAAUUUAGUUUGGAACAAUUUUUAGCCUAGUUUUACGAUGGAUUAUAAGGUUCUGGUUGGAUUUAGUCACGUGAUUGUGAGUUUGACGAGGUAGUUAAAGAUGUUCGAUGAAUUAUGUGAAUUUAGGUCUAGUAGGUGAGCAUGCUGAUUAUUAUAUUAGUGGAUAAAUGAAUCUUUAAUAAAUUUGGAGCAAUUUGAAUUUAGUUAGACGAUUGUGACCUUGAACCAAAUUAUAUGGUGGAUAAUGAGAUUUUUAUGGACUAGUUAGUUGAUUCUGAUCUUGAGAAGAUAUUCAAAGAUGGUUGGAUUAAUUAAUCUUGAAUAAUUUGGAGUUAGUUAGGUGAUUGUGAUAUUGAACCGAAUUUUACGCCGGAUUAUGAGAUUUUAGGUGGAUUUAGUUAGGUGAUUGUGUCUUGAGAAUAGUCAAAGAUGUUUGCUGGACUAUGAGAUUUUAGGUUUAGUAGAUGAGAAUGGUGAUUAUUAUAUUGGUGGAUAAAACCGAUCUUUAAUUUAGUUUGGAACAAUUUUGAUUUAGUUAGGUGAUUGCUAUUUUUCAAACAAAUUCACGGUGGAUUUUGAGGUUUUGUUGGAUUUAGUUAGGUGAUUGUGAUCUCGACGAGUUAGUCAAAGAUGUUUGGUGAAUUAUGUUUACUUAGGUAUAGUAAGUGAGCAUGGUAGUUAUUAUAUUGGUGGAUAAGUGGUCCUUUAGUAAACAUGGAGCAAUUUGGAUGUAGUUAGGCUAUUGUGAUCUUGAAUAAAUUUCAUAGUGGAUUACAGGAUUUUCAAUAGAUUUAGUUAGUAGAUUGUGAUCUUGGGGAGAUGUCAAAGAUGUUUGGUGGAUUAAUUAAUCUUUAACAAUUUGGAGUUGGUAGAUGAUUGCGAUAUUGAACCAAAUUUCUCUGUGAUCUUGAACAAAUUUCAUGGUGGAUUACGAGAUUUUUCAAUGGAUUUAGUUGAUUGUGAUCUUGAGGAGAUAGUCAAAGAUGUUCGGUGUAUUAAUUAAUCUUGAACAAUAUGGAUUUAGUUAUGUGAUUGUGAUAUUGAACCAAAUUUCUCUGUGAUUUAUGAGAUAUUAGUUGGAUUUAGUUAGGUGAUUGUGUCUUGAGAUGAUAAUCAAACAUGUUUUGUGGAUCAUGAGAUUUUAGGUCUAGUAGAGGAGGAUGGUGAUUAUUGUAUUGGUGGAUAGAUAGAUGUUUAAAUUAAUUUGAAACAAUUUGAAUUGGUCAGGUGAUUGUGAUCUUUUAACCUAAUUUUACGAUGGAUUAUAAGGUUCUGAUUGGAUUUAGUCAGGUGAUUGUGAUUUUGAGGAGGUUGGAAAAGAUGUUCGAUGAAUUAUGUGAAUUUAGGUCUAGUAGGUGAGCAUGUUGAUUAUAUAUUGGUGGAUAAAUGAAUUUUUAAUAAAUUUGGAAUAAUUUGGAUUUAGUUAGGUGAUUGUAACCUUGAACCACAUUUUAUGGUGGAUUAUGAGAUUUUUAUGGAUUAGUUAGUUGAUUCUGAUCUUGAGAACAUAUUCAAAUAUGUUUGGAUUAAUUAAUCUUGAAUCAUUUGGAUUUGGUUAGGUGAUUGUGAUACUGAACCGAAUUUUACGCUGGAUUAUGAGAUUUAAUGUAGAUUUAGUUAGGUGAUUGUGUCUUGAGAAUAUAGUCUAAGAUGUUUGCUGGACUAUGAGAUUUUUGGUUUAGUAGAUGAGAAUGGUGAUUAUUAUAUUGAUGGAUAAACAGAUCUUUAAUUUAGUUUGGAACAAUUUUGAUUUAGUUAGGUGAUUGCUAUUUUUCAAACAAAUCCAAGGUGGAUUUUGAGGUUUUGUUGGAUUUAGUUAGGUGAUUGUGAUCUUGACUUGUUAGUCAAAGAUGUUUGGUGAAUUUUGUUAAACUUAGGUCUAGUAAGUGAGCGUGGUGGUUAUUAUAUUGGUGGAUAAAUGGUCCUUUAGUAAACAUGGAGUAAUUUGGAUGUAGUUAGGCUAUUAUGAUCUUGAAUAAAUUUCAUUGUGGAUUACAAGAUUUUCAAUAGAUUUAGUUAGUAGAUUGUGAUCUUGGGGAGAUGUCAAAAAUGUUUGGUGGAUUAAUUAAUCUUAAACAAUUUAGAGUUGGUAGAUGAUUGCGAUAUUGAACCAAAUUUCUCUGUGAUUUAUGAGAUUUUAGUUGGAUUUAAUUAGGUGAUUGUGUCUUGAGAUGAUAAUCAAAGAUGUUUGGUGGAUUAUGGAUUUUAGGUCUAAUAACUGAGCAUGGCGAUUAUUAUAUUGGAGGAUGUACAUAUAUUUAAUUUAGUUUGAAAUGAUUUGGAUUUAGUUUGGUGAUUGUGAUCUUUUAACCUAAUUUUACGGUGGAUUAUAAGGUUUUGGUUGGAUUUGGUUAGCUGAUUGUGAUUUUGACAAGCUAGUAAAAGAUGUUUGGUGAAUUAUGUGAAUUUAGGUCUUGUAGGUGAGCAUGUUGAUUAUUGUAUUGCUGGAUAAAUAAUUAUUUAAUAAACUUGGAAAAUUUUGGAUUUAGUUAGGCGAUUGUCAUUUUGAACCAAAUUUUAUGCUGGAGUAUGAGAUUUUUGAUGGAUUAGUUAGUUGAUUGUGAUCUUGAAGAGAUAGUCAAAGAUGUUCGGUGUAUUAAUUAAUCUUGAACAAUUUGGAUUUAGUUAGGUGAUUGUGAUAUUGAACCAAAUUUGUCUGUGAUUUAUGAGAUGUUAGUUGGAUUUAGUUAGGAGAUUGUGUCUUGAGAAGAUAGUCAAAGAUGUUUGGUGGAUUAUGAGAUUUUAGGUCUAAUAGAUGAGCAUGGUGAUUAUUAUUUUUAUGGAAAUGAAUCUUUAAUAAAUUUGGAACAAUUUGGUUUUAGUUAGUCGACUGUGAUCUUUAACCAAAAUUUAUGGUGGAUUAUGAGAUUUAGUUUGGCUCCGCUCCUGCUGGUUGUGCACAAUGGUGACUCCACGCAUCUCCUGCGCCCCACAACCCUCUCCUUCCUGGCACAGGAGGAGCAGGAGCAAGGAUGCCGAGGCGGUUCAGGUUUGCCUCCACCUCCGCUCUCCUCCCUGCUCUCACUCUUGUCUCCCUUUUUUUCUCAUUCUGCAGCUUCAUUCAAGCAUAUAUUUUAAAUUGCUAGGUAUUCCAGGUAGUUAGCUUAUCUAUGGACUACACCUACAUUUGAUGUUAGAAUUCUGAUACUAAUUUAUGUUCUUGUUGCAUAGAUGAAUGGUGCUUUAGCUUCAAUGACCAGUUUUAUUGCUAAAUAUUUUUCCCAUUGAAAGUGUCAAAGAAUAUACAACUUGGUAUGGAGAAGUUUUCUUAUGGGGAAUUAAAGAUUCUUGUAUGCAGAACUAUUUGGGCUCCCGCAGCUGUAUCAGUUGGUUUUAGUUCUCAGAUUUUUACUUUGCUUUUUUUGGCAAAAAAUUGGAUGUAUGAAUCUGAGAUCUGGACCUCAAGUUAACUGCUUUUCUUUUCAUCUGCAGUCGCGAGGAAGAGUAGGAAGAUCAGGCAGAGAGGGUUUUACAUACCUCUUCCACACUGACAAGUCUUUGCUUUUCAGGAUUGCCAUGGCGUGCUGCUGUUGUAAUGCUUUCAUUUUCUGUUGUUUUGUCACUUUGUUAAACUUUGUUCUCUUAUUCUGAUGCUAUGGUUUGUGAUGGCUGGAUGAGAUUUGUGGUGAAAAGUCUCCUUUAUUUUGUUUACCUACAGAUCUUGAAUGCACGAUUGAUAAUUUUGCUGGAUAGGUUAGAAAUCUAAAUAAUAGACAUUUUAAAGGAUGUAGUUGGUACACAUGGAAAGCCAAGAAAAAUAUAUAGCUUACUUACAGUGUUGUUUGAUCCAUCGCUCUGCGGCAGGCUCACUGAUGGACUUGAAGUAUGACUAAUCUUGGACUGCAUUUAUUGCCUGUUGUUGGUCUGCUUCUUUUAUUCUAUAUUUAGGGGGUUCUAAGCUAUUGAAUUAGGAAGCAUAUAGUUUAUCCAUUUACUUUUGAGACCCUCUUCAGUCUGUUGGCUACUGCAGGGAGCUUUGGAUGGUGGUCUUGGUAUUCCACACAGUGACAAGAGAUUUGCUGGCUUCAAGAAGGAUAAGAAGCACCCGGGCGCUGAGAUUCACUGCAAAUACAUCUAUGAAGGUCAUGUUGCUGACUACAUGAAGGUGAGUUGGAUCCAUUGCCCUCGUGGUAUUAUAAUGCCAUUUCUUCAUUCCCUAGGGCUGUCGUUGUUGUAUACAUGAAUUCUUUCUGGAAGAUAUAUCUGGGCCCGAUUCACCCAUAUAAAGUAUCCUAAAGCAAGUGUACUUUCUUCUUAUUUCUGAAGCAGCUUACUGAAUCUCGUUUUAACUUCUGCCCUACCCAUAUUUCAGUCAAUAGCUGAUGAGGAACCUGUAAUGCCCAGAUGGAUCUCAAUCUGGAAUUGGGGAUGAGGAAGAGAGAAGAGAGUAGGUGAGAGACGUAGAGAAGGGGAAAGAAGGUUCAAUCAAUCACACGCCGCCUUUCUCCUUAGUGUUUCGUACAUAAGUAGCCGCCCCUUCCUGGGCUUACCCUUACAUGGCCUCCGGCCCACACCACAUACGGGCCCCAAGCCCACACACACACUAGCGUUGCAGUUCAGCUAACUGACUGCACUAGUUCAGUCCGCCACUGAUGCAUCAGUAGGCGCGACAUUGUCCUCCCCUUGAGAUGAAGCUCCUUCCCAGAUGCAGGCUGAUGGAUAGCGUUGGCGAAGAACGGUGUAAUCUUCCCAAGUGGUGGCUGAAGUUGGCAUGUUUGCCCACUGGACACGGAGUUGCACACUCCGCCUUUCUCCUUAGUGUUUCGUACAUAAGUAGCCGCCCCUUCCUGGGCUUACCCUUACAUGGCCUCCGGCCCACACCACAUACGGGCCCCAAGCCCACACACACACUAGCGUUGCAGUUCAGCUAACUGACUGCACUAGUUCAGUCCGCCACUGAUGCAUCAGUAGGCGCGACAGAACCUAAGAAGUACCAAUCUCACUUCAGUGAGUACAUCAGGAAGAAUAUUGCGGCCGAUGACAAGGAAGCACUGUACAAGAAGGUUCAUGCUGCCAUUUGUGCUUAUCCUACCAUGGCAAGAUCAACUAAGGAACCUCCAAAGACGCACAAGAAUUGGAUAUAUCUUGCUGUUUAUUAAAGUCAAACAACUGAUAAUGAAGUUUAUCAAUAUAUAGUAAUGGGUAUAAAUGUUUCCUCAUACUCAUGUAGUCCGUUCAUUCCUAAACUAUAUGUUCUUCUUUUGUUAAAGCCUUAAAAUAUUGAAACAAUUCCUUACUUAACACUAUCUUAAAUUUCGUUUCCUUAUUUGACACUGAAAAACUUUUUCUUCCUUAUGUAACAACGAGUCUAAAUUUUAUGCCUUUUAUAACACUUUUGUCUAUUUUGAGCCUAAAUGACAACUGAAAAGAUCCUUUUGCCCCUCAUGUGGUAUGUGUGUGUGCGGGGCAAUAACACACGCACGCAACAUCAGUGCGAGGGCAGUAGCACACACAACACACACACAGCAGCACGCACACACGAAGCACAUACACACACACACACGCAACACACUCACAGGUAGCAGCACACACGCACGCAUCAACAACACACACACACGCAGCAACACACACAGCGAAGUAAUAUACAUCCAGUAUUGUAGUAAGUUCUUUCAAAAUUAUAUCAUACAUGAUUUUCUCCUUCAUAAACUCCGCCACACCAGAAAAAUAUUCCUGCCUCCGCCACUGCACGCACCACGCAUGCACACAACAGCAUGCACGUACACACGCAGUAGCAAACUCACACACAGCAGCACACGCGCGCGUGCACACACACACACAUAUGCAGCAGUAGCACAUACAUACGCGCACACAAACACACGCAACAUCACAGGCACGCGCACACAAACAUACCACAUGAGGGCAAAAUGGUCAUUUCAGGUGUCAUUUAGGCUUAAAAUGGACAUAAGUGUUAUAAAAGGCAUAAAAUUUAGACUCCUUGUUAGAUAGGGAACAAAUUAUUUGUCAAUGUCAAAUAGGGCAUAAAUUUUAGACACGGUGUUAAAUAAGGAAUUCUCUCUAAAAUAUUAAGAUGUUACGGUAAAUAAAUUCCUUCAGAAUCAAUAAUAGAAAAGUUCUGCUAUGCAAUAAGAUACAGUUGUAUGCAAAAAAUAAUCUUGUAUUAUAUAGUUAUAUAUCAAAACUAUGGAUUUUCUAUGCACUUCCUGCGAUCAUUAAUGUUCAUUGUCUUUGUUUGGAUUUUGUUGGGCACCUGCGGCAAGCGGUGUCAGACACGACGGACGCUGCCAGGUCCGCGUCAACAUCGUGCUCACAGAGCCUGGCCGCUGCGUUGUGUUCUCCAUUUUGCAGUGCAUGGUGAACUACACAGCAAAGUUCAGCUGCAGUUCCUCUAUUUUCUUCCUACUAAGAGCCCUGACGAUUUGUACUACUUGGCUGCAAAUUUGUGCCGUUUGCAUCACCAUACGGAUAGUGGUUUGUUCUUCCGGCAUUAUUCAUGGUUCUCAUCAUAGCCAUACUGAAUGAUGCAGGUGGCAUACCUGAAUUUAUCAUAUGAAUUAUGACUUUAUGAGCUUGCUUGGCUACUGACCUGCUGUUUUGGAAGGGCGUCCUUUUACCAGAGCUAUGGAUUUUAUUAUGCCCCAUUUCCUUCAGGGCCUGGUCACAGAUGGCAUUUUUUCUGGGUUGUGGUGAAAUACUUUUGUUCUUUUUUGGAAAACAUGUGCUCUAACUCAAGUGAGAGUGUAAACAAGUAUUUCAACUCAACUCCAGGCAAUAGUUGCCAUUUAGGGGGCGUUGACCCACCGUGGAUGUUGGUCGCUGCAUGCCUGCGCUGUUCUUUGCUCUGCUGCGUGGAGCGCUUGUGUUGCCAGCCUACAAUUGGUGUCGGGACUUUCGUUCGGUUCUGCUUGGCGGCGGUGAUUUCCUUCGGUUCUGCUGGGCCCUUCUAUCUAGCGGCCCCUAGAAGGGAGCACGGGUGACGCCAUCUCGUCUGGUGCUGAAGCUCCCAAACAGCUCACCUCGUGGCAGCAAGUAGUACAAAAUUCAUACCUGCCGCAUCACCAAUACGAGUACUCCAGGAAAAUGAGUCAGUCAAAAUAUGCAAGUAUGUGCACCCAGUUUGUUCAAGCCCCUUGCUCAGAAGUUGGUCUGGAGAUGCAAGAAUACAGGUAAACUGCAUAUAUAACUGCAUUUUUACGCAGAACUGAAAUCUCACAGAAACUACACUAAACUGGAUUGAGAUUAUUGAAAAAUGUUAAUUAAAUGUUAAAUGGAUAACUUUGUGAUAAUCUACACCAUAUCUUUAUGGACUAGGACCAAUCAAAACAACAUGCAGGAAUUGUUCAUCCUCAUGGAACCAAAAAACCAUCCAUCCACUUUCACUGCAAGUCAACACUGUACUGAGCUUUCCCUGUCCAUACACUUCCGAAACAGAAUGCCAGAUUGUUAAAUACUGACCAAGAUAACGAUAUUUAGAAACAAAUCACCUCACCCUCACCUCUUUCUGAUUAGUUUUUUGCUGCUGAACUAUUGCUGUCGGCUGUCGGAGUGCCUUUGCUGCUUGGGGUUCUUGCUUAACUUCCGCCUGCUGUGGAUGCCGCUUUGUGCUCGAGUUCUUGCUUAACUUCCGCCUGCUGUGGAUGCCGCUUUGUGUUUGGGUCUUUCCUUCUUGCUGCUGGUGUCGCUGUCUUUUUGUUGGCCAGGGGCAUGAUAUCUGGGGCAGCAGCCAAUCCUCCACGGGUGAAGUGAAGGUUUAUGUUUGUCACAAUUUCCAAUAUUAGCAUAGUAUGUAUUUGCAUGUUGCAAAGAUCUCAGUAUGAGGAGAUUUAGAUUCAUUCAACUCAACCAUUGACAGGCAGGGAGACAACAAAGGGGGCAGUAUAAUUGCAUCCCAUUAUUAUUUUUCUCUUUAUUA